AGUGAACGCUGGCGGUAGGCCUAACACAUGCAAGUCGAACGGCAGCACAGUAAGAGCUUGCUCUUACGGGUGGCGAGUGGCGGACGGGUGAGGAAUACAUCGGAAUCUACUUUUUCGUGGGGGAUAACGUAGGGAAACUUACGCUAAUACCGCAUACGACCUACGGGUGAAAGCAGGGGAUCUUCGGAACUUGCGCGAUUGAAUGAGCCGAUGUCGGAUUAGCUAGUUGGCGGGGUAAAGGCCCACCAAGGCGACGAUCCGUAGCUGGUCUGAGAGGAUGAUCAGCCACACUGGAACUGAGACACGGUCCAGACUCCUACGGGAGGAAGCAGUGGGGAAUAUUGGACAAUGGGCGCAAGCCUGAUCCAGCCAUACCGCGUGGGUGAAGAAGGCCUUCGGGUUGUAAAGCCCUUUUGUUGGGAAAGAAAAGCAGCAGGUUAAUACCCCGCUGUUCUGACGGUACCCAAAGAAUAAGCACCGGCUAACUUCGUG
rnacentral:rRNA from 1 species